ACGAAAAACCUGCACUUGUCUUCUUCAAAAUCGAGGCAUGCUUGGAGGGAAGGGUGAUGAGAGAACAUGUUAUUCUAGUGUUUAAAUCAUCUAGCUCCAUUGAGAAAAAAGAUUCCUUAGUGAAUGAAGAGUAAAAUCUUGUGUUUUUUCCUUCUUGAAGAGAUCAUAUGAAGAUGCUUUUCUUCUCUUCUCCAUGCGCAUAUCAAGCUGUCCUCUUGGUGUGAUGAUGGAUUUUCAUGCCUUUUUGAAGUAAAAUCGAAGUAGUAGUCUUCUAGUGGUGUUUAAGGUGGAUUGAUGAUCCUAUGUGUGAUCGUUGUAGGUUGCCUCCCACGGACGUUAUCCUUGAGGAUUGACCAAAAGGAUUUGGGCAUUUCUGAGUGGAAGAAGUUACGGUAAAACUUGCAUUGGAGCUGCCUAGCUUGGGAGCUUCAAUAAGGUGCGCAAAAUGCUUAGGACCUUGGACUAUUUUCGCUGCUGCCUGGUAAAUUUUUGUGACACGUGAGGAAGGCGAAGAAGUGUUUGAUGACAUGAUCACAUGACAAAUUCUGUUUAAGUUAUGCUGUUUGGCAACCUUGCUGUUUACUCGCUGUUCCUGCUGAUUGUGCUGACUAUUUGACCUUGAUGUAGUAUCUUAAAGAAUGGCAUGCUAUGAUGCAUAUUCUGUUUUGAAAGGAGUUGUGGCGUGAUUUUUAUAUCUCAUUUGAUACUUAUGUGAUUCUGGUAUCUAAAUUGUCAAACAAAUUUCUGUUGUAUUUAAAUUCGGAUUUUUGAACUGUUUUAGCGAGCACCUUGCGAGUUCUCGUUCUAGGGCUACAGACCUCCGAAUGAGGUAUAAUUUA